ACGGCGGACGGGUGAGUAACGCGUGGGUAACGUGCUCAUACAGGGGAGUAACAGUUAGAAAUGACUGCUAAUACCGCAUAAGACCACAGCACCGCAUGGUGCGGGGGUAAAAACUCCGGUGGUAUGAGAUGGACCCGCGUCUGAUUAGCUAGUUGGUAAGGUAACGGCUUACCAAGGCGACGAUCAGUAGCCGACCUGAGAGGGUGACCGGCCACAUUGGGACUGAGACACGGCCCAA
rnacentral:rRNA from 1 species